rnacentral:rRNA from 1 species
GUGGGGUAAUGGCCUACCAAGGCUAUGACGGAUAGCUGGUCUGAGAGGAUGAUCCGCCACACUGGGACUGAGACACGGCCCAGACUCCUACGGGAGGCAGCAGUGGGGAAUUUUGGACAAUGGGGGCAACCCUGAUCCAGCCAUUCCGCGUGAGUGAAGAAGGCCUUCGGGUUGUAAAGCUCUUUCGGCCGAGAGCAAAUCCUUUGAUCUAAUACAUCUGAGGGAUGAGAGUAUCGGAAGAAGAAGCACCGGCUAACUACGUGCCAGCAGCCGCGGUAAUACGUAGGGUGCGAGCGUUAAUCGGAAUUACUGGGCGUAAAGCGUGCGCAGGCGGUUUUUUAAGCCAGAUGUGAAAUCCCCGGGCUUAACCUGGGAACUGCAUUUGGAACUGGAAGACUAGAGUGUGUCAGAGGGGGGUGGAAUUCCACGUGUA